rnacentral:misc_RNA from 1 species
AUAUUUCGGAAUAUACUCGCUCUGUCUUGCCGGAUACCCUCAAAGUCGUAUUGCGUAUUUUUCGUUAAAAAUUUAGCUAUAUAAAACUAAUUUUUUUUAAUGAUUUAGUUACUUUGGCGAGCAAGAACGUUGGAUACCAGGUAGUUUUUGGCGGGAUUCCUGAGUAAUGACAAUUUGAGUUGGUAAUUCUGACUGGCGUGAUGAAAAUUAUCUAGCGAUGGAGAGAGAAGAGCGGCGCGUCCGGAUGCACCGAUUACUCGUGGAAACUGGUAAUAAUUUCACGCGAUCGGCAAGGAUCUACCGCGAGCGAUUCACGGCGGAUAAACAACCACCAUCAAGGCAAUCCUUCCGAAGGCUGGCAGAAACAGAGCGGAAGUUUGGGGUACUGAAACAGCCCCGACGGCAACGCAUCAGACCGGUAUUGGAUGGCCCAGCCAGAGACGCAGUGAAAAAUGCACUUGAGAAAAACGAGAUCCAGAGCAUGAGACAGGUGGCCAGAACACUGCAGGUUCCGCGAGAAUCCAUCAGGAAAAGCGUACAUUUGGAAAACAGUGCAUCAGGUGCCAGCUGGCACAAAAUCUGCAACAUCCGGAUCUCGAUCAAAGGUUACGGUACUGUAACUGGGGAAUACAGCGUCUCAAGGAAGAUGCCGAAUUCUUCCGGAGAGUGUACUUCACUAAUGAAGUCACCUUCACAAACAUCGUAAUGCUGAUUAAACAAGAGUGUCGUUACUGGACUCCAGGAAGUCCACAUUGGAUUGUGGAGCAGGACGCCCAACACAGUUGGAAGGUCCAGGCCUGGGUUGGACUAUUAGGGGAUAGAAUAAUCGGACCUUAUUUUUUUGAAGGGAAUAUGAAUUCCCAGAAAUAUAGAGACCUGCUUUCCAACGAACUCCCCGGUUUGUUGCACGGAAAUCCCAUUCCUAUGGACCAGGUUUGGUGGCAGCAAGACGAGGCCCCUGCUCACAACAGUAACGCGAACACAAAGAUCCUGAACGCUAUGUUCCCGGAGCGAUGGAUUGGGACAGGAGGUCCGAUUAGGUGGCCAGCACGCUCACCAGAUCUCACGCCACUUGAUUUUUACUUCUGGGGUAAAGUUCAAAGAAUUGUCUAUGCACAGGCCCCUACCACAACGCACAAUAUGAGGCACCGUAUCGCCAAUGUGUGCGCUGCAAUUCCCAUCAGGCAGCUGCAACAGGUGCGCAGAUUGAUCCGAAAACGGUUCUCAUUUGCCACCGAGUAAAACGGACGUCACAUGGAGCAACUCUUCAGACAGAAGAACCAGGACUAAGACGUGAGAUUCUUUUGACAAAUCUCUAUUGAUGAAUAAUAAAAAUUUAUGAUGGACAAUUCUUACUGAACAAAAAUUUGAACCUCAGCAUUUCUAUAGUGUGAGAAUAUAGUAUUAUAAAAAUGGAGAAAAGUCAACUUUAUAUUUGUUUGCUUUUGCACUCAACACAAUUGUUUAAUAUUACAUUCGUUCUUAUCAAAUUACAUACGCAUCGCAUUGUUCUAAUUAUCAUAUUUGACUUUUCAAAUAGCUAUAACGACUGUCCCGUGGAAUGUAGAGGAUGGCAAGAAAUGGCUUUUGGUUAACAGUAACAGUAGGCGAGAUCAGGCGUGAAACUUAAGAUUAGAUUCUUGUAUCAAAUCGCUCAUAAUGAUUAAUACAAAAGUAUGAUAGGCGCUUCUUAAUGCAAAUAAAUCUGAGCCUCAACAUUCGUAUUAUGAGAACAGUAUUACGAAAAUAGAGAAAAGUCAAGUGUCCUGUUGUUUACAUCUGCAUAUGACACUGUCUUCAUUUGUUUCAUUAAUAUUGGAUUUUCUCAUAUCGAAGUAUGCACUCUGCAUUUAUCUAUUUAUGAUGUACGAAUAUCAAAAACAGGUAUUACUGAGAGUUUCAUGGGGUGUAAAGAAGAGCAAGGAAUUACUUUUGGAGGACGGUUACGAUGGAUAAGACCAGAAGUGAAACAUGAGAUAAGAUUCUUUUAACGAAUUGCUCGUUAUGGAUGAUACAAAAUUAUGAGGGAUGUCUUUUAUUGCAAAUAAAUAUCAGCCUCACUUCUCAGCAUUUCUAUUAUGAGAGUAAUAUUACGAAAACAGUAAAAAGUUGAGAGUCUUGCCCUUUACUUCUGCGUAUGACGCCGUCAGAAUUUUUCAAUAAUAUUGGAUUCGUUCCUAUCAAAAUAUACAUAUAGUACUCACACAAUUAAAUUCAAUGAUUGACUUUCAAAAACAGGUGUUGCUAACAGCCUUGUUGUAUGCAAAGGAUAACGAGGACUGGCUUUUGGCGCUGGUUUUAGUGGGUAUCCCGUGAGGUGAAUCCCACACUCCUGGGAGUGACGUUACCCUCCCCAGGGUAGUCUAUAAAAGAUUUCCCCAACAAUUUGGCUAGACGCAAGAAAGAAAAACCGAUAAUAAUAAAUAUCAGCACACAUCAAUAUAGUCUCACAUAUUUCGUCAAUUAAAACGUGAAUGUCGACUUAGCAGACUUGUAAUUUGUAAAAGAUGCACUAUCAUUAAUACGUUCGCGAUUUCUUUAUCCAUUAUAUUUUCAAAAAAUAAUGCAUCAAUUCAAUGUCAUAAACCAGAUGUUGUGUUACUAUAUUGAUAAAACAGCGAGAAGCUCAUAAUUAAAAAUGAAGAAAAGCCAUUUCGUUAUUUCACCCCAGUUUUGAAACAGUAGAUUCAACAAUUCAUUGCUGUUUCACAGGUCAACUGAAAACAAAUCGACCUGAAAACAUCAGCACCGAGUAGUGGAAAGAAAUCUGUUAGUAAUAUUUUGACGUUAACUUUCACUUUCAAUGCGAAAAUUAAUCUAUUGAAAUUAUUGUCAGGUACAAUUAAGCACAUCGUACGGUCGGUGGAUUGAAAAGGAAAAAAUGGCCUUCUCCUUAAAUAAUUUCGGUUAGUCGACUAACAGUUGCAGUUAAAAAUUUUUUUUCACUUCUAUGACGAUGUUCUGUUCUCCGUUGAAGUCUUCAAUUUCAUUCCUUUCCUUUACACUGUAUCUCAUUGAUGUGUUUAAUGUACUUACUGCCUGUAUCCAGAAUAUCGAGCAUAGCAUAAACUAAUAAGUUUAGGUAACAGCUUCAAUUUUUCACUUCACAAGUACCUAUGAUCUGUGUAACAUUGACGUACAACUUCAGAAAACAAAUGUAUUUUUAAAUAAUA